rnacentral:rRNA from 1 species
ACUCCUACGGGAGGCAGCAGUGAGGAAUAUUGGACAAUGGUCGGAAGACUGAUCCAGCCAUGCCGCGUGCAGGAUGACGGCCCUAUGGGUUGUAAACUGCUUUUAUACGGGAAGAAACCCGCCUACGUGUAGGCGGCUGACUGUACCGUAAGAAUAAGGACCGGCUAACUCC